UCGCAACUCGCCGGUGACUCGCCUACAUGUUCGCCACCGGUGCCACAACUCGCCGGUGACUCAGCUUCAUGUUCGUCACCGGUGCCACAACUCGUCAGUGACUCACCUUCAUGUUGCCGACGAUGACGCACCUUGUCGACGACUCGCACAUGAAACUCCUUAUGGCAAUGGCCUCCGCUCCAAUGGCCAUCACCUCCUUGCCGCCGGUGACGCAACUUACGGGGCAACAUACCUUUCUCCAUCACCAUGACGCAACUCGAGGAUGAUGGAGACACGCACCGGCCGCUAGCAGCAUCACGCUGCCAACGGCGUUCACCUUGCGCCGACGACCUCCACCUCACAUGGAGUCCGCCGCGCCGUCACCACCGCGUCCG
rnacentral:lncRNA from 1 species